rnacentral:rRNA from 1 species
UACGUAGGGUGCGAGCGUUAAUCGGAAUUACUGGGCGUAAAGUGUGCGCAGGCGGCAGAGCAAGUCGAGUGUGAAAGCCCCGGGCUUAACUUGGGAAUUGCGCUCGAAACUACUUUGCUGGAGUGUGGCAGAGGAAGGUGGAAUUCCACGUGUAGCGGUGAAAUGCGUAGAGAUCGUAAGGAAGACCAGUGGCGAAGGCGGGUCUCUGGACAGCUCCUGACACUGAGGCACGAAGGCCAGGGGAGCAAACGGG